UACGGGGGGGGCAAGCGUUGUUCGGAAUUACUGGGCGUAAAGGGCUCGUAGGUGGCCAACUAAGUCAGACGUGAAAUCCCUCGGCUUAACCGGGGAACUGCAUCUGAUACUGGAUGGCUUGAGAUUGGGAGAGGGAUGCGGAAUUCCAGGUGUAGCGGUGAAAUGCGUAGAUAUCUGGAGGAACACCGGUGGCGAAGGCGGCAUCCUGGACCUACACUGACGCUGAGGAGCGAAAGCCAGGGGAGCAAACGGG
rnacentral:rRNA from 1 species